AGUGGGUCUGGGGUCCCACGCAGCAUGACAAUGAGCCUGGGGUCACACUCAACCUGAGUCACCCCACCCUGCGGCACAGUGUCUCCCACUGAGGCCCCUCGGUCGCUCCCACUCGCCGUGCCCUCACCUAGUCAGGUCCCGCAGCCGCGCCUCCUCCCCGCGCAGCUCCUCGGAAUGCGUGGGGGCUUCCUGCAACAUCAGUCUCCGCCGCCCUCCACUAAAUCGCGACCCUGGGAAGGUGUUUCCACUGUGCCCAUCACACUAGGGGAAAUUGAGGCGGAGGCAGGGUGCGCAGGCAAAGAGCGGCAAGAGGACAGCUGGGAGGAAAACCCUCACAGAGAGCGUGACAUCUGAGCCAUCUGAAGGAUAAGUAGGACUGUGUCAGGAUUAUCAUGCUGGCUUCAGCAGGUAGAGCUGAUGGGAGGAGGCAAGACAGGAAGGAACUGCAUAGUCCAGUAAAUUGCAACAGAAGGAACAGUGCAUCAGUUCUGAGCCUAGGUGUCCAGAGGCCUUGCAUGCUUUGGCUCUCUCUUUUGGGGCUCUGCCCAGGCACCCAGGGAACACCCUGGGCUAGCCUGCUGGAAUGUGAGAGAUCAUGUGUGGCAGUGCUCAGCCAACCCAGCCGAGGCCAUCAGAAAUUAGCCAGCACCCAGUCAACUUGGCAGCUGACCACCAGCAGAGAAGUGGACUCACUCAAGACCAGAAGAAAUAUCCAGCUGACCUCAGUCAAAACUGCUAACCCACACAACAGUGAGAUAUAUAAAUAGCUGCCGUUUUAAGCCACUAAGUGUUGGGGUAAUUUGUUUUGCAGCAAAAGUAGACUGAUACAGAAAUUGGUGUCCGAAAGUGAGAUGUUAGGCCAUUAACAAUACCCUAAAAUUUGUGACAUUAGCUUUGAGAUUGGGAGUGGUUGGAAACUGGGAAAAUGGCAAGAGCAAACAUAUUGAAGUCUGGGGAAAUGAUGGGAAAUUAUUACUAGAGGCUGGAAAAACAGUAAUCUGUGUUUCAUAGUGGCACUUUGUAAAGACCUCUGCAAGAAUUAAAGUGAUGUCUAGUCGACCUCUAGACAAAAAAAAAACCUUCUUGGAAACUUAAGAGUGAGAUCCCACAGAAGCCCAAUUCAAAAAUACCAGUAAUAAAAUCUAGAGAGAUGUCACAAAACAGUUGUGUCAUUUGGAGUAUGGAAUAGACUGAAAUUAUUCAAACUACCAAUUAUUCAGCUACCAACAUGGGCCACAUCUUCAGAAGUAGCCAAGGAAGGUGACAGACAAGGAAUAUGUUCCAAAGGGUAUAGUCAAGAGCCGCAGAGAUCAGUGGAGCAGGAACGCCCUCCCAGGGAGUAAACUCUAGACCUGAGCAAGAAAUACACCCUCUCCUGGGAUAGUGAGACUUGUAAACCUUUGCCCAGCUGGAGUUCAGAAUUGCUAUGUGUCUCUCAUUCUUCCCUUUUUAAUUUUGUUUUGUUUUGUUUUUGUUUUUUGAGACAGAGUCUUGCUCUGAUGCCCAGGCUGGAGUGCAGUGGUGUGAUCUCGGCUCACUGCAACCUCCCCCUCCCGGGCUCAAGUGAUUCUCCUGCCUCAGCCGCCCAAGUAGCUGGGACUACAGGUGUGCUGCCCAAUGCCUGGCUAAUUUUUGUAAUUUUAGUAGGUUGGUCUUGAACUCCUGUCCUCAAGUGAUCUGCCUGCUUCAGCCUCCUAAAGUGCUGGGAUUGUAGGCGUGAGCCACCGUGACCAGCGUUCUUCCCUUUUUUAAAUGGAAGUGUCUAUUGAGGAUAUCCUGCCUCCGUCUCAAUGUACAGUAGGUAUGCGGGAGGCAAAUAACUUGUCUUUAAUCCAUCGGUGUCAGGAUUAAGAAGAACAACAUCCAUAAUGUCACAUACAAACCUGAUGU